AAAAUGUACAUUUUAUCAAUUUAAAAUAUCCUGUAUUUUCAGACUGUUUCCUACAUUUUCUAUCUUUUCUAUUCUUAAUGUUGAUUUUUGGCUAGCACGUUAUUUCUCAUCCUUUUAUUUUUAAACUAUCUGUGUCAUUUUGCUUUUUAUGACUCGGAUUUGUUUUCUGUUUGCCAUUGAAAUGUACUUCGGUAUUGUUCAUCAGCUGUGUGCUGUUGAAUAAGAAACCAUUCCAAACCUCAGUCGCUUGGAACCACCCUCCUUUCUUGCUCAGGAUUCCGUGGGUCAGCGCACUGAGCUGGCCUCAGCUGGGCCUUUCUUCUGCUGGUGCUACCUUGGGGCGCUUGGGCAGGUGCAGCCACCUGGUGGCUCCGCUGGGACCUCUCUUGCCCCAAGUCUGGCGGUUGGUGCUGGCUCUCUUCUGGGCCUCCUUCUGCAUGGUGCUUCUGCCCACACGGCCGAGCCUGGGGCUUGUCUCCUUCAGCAGUAUUCCAAGAUGGUGGUGGUCCAAGCUGCAGAGCAUCUUGAUGGCUAGGUCUGGAAGUCUCAUAACAUCCCAUCUGCAUCAUUCUGCUGGGGGAAGCCAACCACCCCGGAGCUGGACCAUGGAGAAGAGGACUCUGCUGCCCAUUGUGGAGAAUGGCAAAGUAUUAUUCGUAAUGGGUUUGAAGCACAGGGAUAUAAGGAAUCAUUUCACUGUCUUUACAUUGUGCUACCGCACACACUGGAUUGAUCAACCAUUUGCUUUAUUCUGGGUUUUUUUUUCCCCAUUGUUGUUGUUCCCAUGGUUUAGAUAUAUUAGUAUCUGUGGUGGAUCAACUAACGGUCAACUUGGGAAGCCCAGCUGAACUGAGUCAGUACAGCAUCCCAGGCUUUCCCACAUGGUGGUGGAAGAGUUUCCAAGAGCUUCAAGAGAGCAGUGCUAUGGUUUGCAUGUGUCUCCUCCAAACUUCAAGCAUGGACGCUUAAUGCUCAAGGUGAUGGUGCUAAGAGGUGGGUACCAAGACGUGAUCAGAUGAUGAGGGUCCUCCCUCAGUGAAUAGGGUUAAGACCCUGAUUAAAAAGGAAAAAAAGCUUUCCUCUCCGGAGGAGCCAGCAACAAGGCACCCACUAUAGUUUGGAUCUAGAAUGUUCCCCCAGAAUUCCAUGUGCUAAACGGCUCGGUUGCCAUCUUGCAUGAUUGGGAGAUGUGGAGACACUGAGAGAUAGGCCAAGUGGAGACAUUCAGGAUGUUGGGGGCGUGCUGCAGGAGGGGCCCAUGGGAGCCAGGCCCUUUCUUUUUCACUCACUAUCCGUGAAGAGAGUGGUUUUAUUUUGUCAUGUGCUCACCCUUCCACAGGCCCCAAAGCGACGGGGCCAACUGAUCAUGGACCAAAACCUCCAAAACGGUGAGCCAAAACUAAAUCUUCCCUCUUUAUAGCUUUGCUUGUUCUUAAAUAGUUGUUGUAGUGGUAGAGAACUAAUAUAGCGCCACCUUGGAAGCAGAGAGAAGCACUCCCUGGACAACUGAACCUACUGUCUCGAACUUCCUGACGUUCUGAACUGUGAGGAGAUAAAUUUCUGUUUUCAUAAAUAACCCAGUUUCAGGUAUUUCGUUACAACAACACAGAACAGAUUUACACAGUAAAACACUGGUAAAAUGUAAAGUGUUUUCAGCUCUGAGCUUUAGGUAUUAUAAUUUCCAAAUGAUUAGUUAUGCUUUAUCACUAACUGAUCUUCAGGUGAGCCUAGCAGUGAUUUCAAAUAAAAUUCACUGCUUUUAUGAUGCUCUGUAAAAUUUCUUUAAGGCCAGAAUCAGUGUACGUUAUGGUGGCUACGCAUGUGGAUGUGAAACCAGAGCUGCUCAGGUUUGGCCCUCAGGUCUGUAAGUUUUGGUGUCAUCUCUUGGGCAGAUCAUUUAACCUCUCUGUGCUUCGAUUUCUUAAUAUGUAAAUGUGGGGUAAGUAUAGUACAUGAAUUUUAGGAUUUAUUCUCAGUAUUCAUCUUAAGGAUCAAAUGAGAAAAACCCUUAGAAUAGCUCCUGGCAAGUGUAAGUACAAUUAAAGUGUUGGCUUUAUGUAUAGCACUGAAUUUCAGGCAUAAAAAUCUCAAUAUCAAAGGUUUCUAAAACUCUUUGAGUUGCUGAAACACUUUUGUAUUUUGAAGGUAAUUUUUGUUUGAUAUUUCAUAUCAUUUAUUUUAAUGAAUUUCAAACCACGGACAGG
rnacentral:lncRNA from 1 species